UACGUAGGGCGCAAGCGUUGUCCGGAAUUAUUGGGCGUAAAGAGCUCGUAGGCGGUUUGUCGCGUCUGUCGUGAAAGCCCACGGCUUAACCGUGGGUCUGCGGUGGAUACGGGCAGACUAGAGUGUUGCAGGGGAGACUGGAAUUCCUGGUAUAGCGGUGAAAUGCGCAGAUAUCAGGAGGAACACCGGUGGCGAGGCGGGUCUCUGGGCCGAUACUGACGCUGAGGAGCGAAAGCGUGGGGAGCGAACAGG
rnacentral:rRNA from 1 species